AAGGUGUUGUGAUUAAUAACCGCAGCAAUUGACGUUACCCGCAGAAGAAGCACCGGCUAACUCCGUGCCAGCAGCCGCGGUAAUACGGAGGGUGCAAGCGUUAAUCGGAAUUACUGGGCGUAAAGCGCACGCAGGCGGUCUGUCAAGUCGGAUGUGAAAUCCCCGGGCUCAACCUGGGAACUGCAUUCGAAACUGGCAGGCUAGAGUCUUGUAGAGGGGGGUAGAAUUCCAGGUGUACCGGUGAAAUGCGUACAGAUCUGGAGGAAUACCGGUGGCGAAGGCGGCCCCCUGGACAAAGACUGACUCUCAGGUGCGAAAGCGUGAGGAGCAAACAGGAUUAAAUAC
rnacentral:rRNA from 1 species